UACGGAGGGUGCGAGCGUUGUCCGGAAUCACUGGGCGUAAAGGGCGCGUAGGCGGCCUGGUAAGUAGGAGGUGAAAUCCUGCGGCUUAACCGCAGGGCUGCCUUCUAAACUGUCAGGCUCGAGCACAGUAGAGGCAGGUGGAAUUCCCGGUGUAGCGGUGGAAUGCGUAGAGAUCGGGAAGAACAUCAGUGGCGAAGGCGGCCUGCUGGGCUGUUGCUGACGCUGAGGCGCGAAAGCGUGGGGAGCGAACAGG
rnacentral:rRNA from 1 species